UACGUAGGGUGCGAGCGUUAAUCGGAAUUACUGGGCGUAAAGCGUGCGCAGGCGGUUAUGCAAGACAGAUGUGAAAUCCCCGGGCUCAGCCUGGGAACUGCAUUUGUGACUGCAUAACUAGAGUGUGGCAGAGGGAGAUGGAAUUCCGCGUGUAGCAGUGAAAUGCGUAGAUAUGCGGAGGAACACCAAUGGCGAAGGCAAUCUCCUGGGCCUGCACUGACGCUCAUGCACGAAAGCGUGGGGAGCAAACAGG
rnacentral:rRNA from 1 species